GAUUGGGUUUAAUGUUGGUGUUGUAAUUAAACGAACAUCACCACCACCAGGCGCCCAUGUGUCAUAUACACCGCCUAAGUACAUUGCUUUUACAACUAAUAAAAAUGAACCAAGACCUAAAAGGCAUAGGUGAAUUCCUAAGAUAGUUGUCAUUUUAUUUUUAUCACGCCA
rnacentral:antisense_RNA from 10 species